rnacentral:rRNA from 1 species
GAUGAACGCUGGCGGCGUGCCUAAUACAUGCAAGUCGAGCGAACGGACGAGAAGCUUGCUUCUCUGAUGUUAGCGGCGCACGGGUGAGUAACACGUGGAUCACCUACCUAUACGACUGGGAUAACUUCGGGACACCGGAUCUAAUACCGGAUGAUAUUUUGAACCGCAUGGUUCAAAAGUGAAAGACGGUCUUGCUGUUACUAAUAGAUGCAUCCGCGCUUCAUUAGCUUGUUGGUAAGGUAAUGGCUUACCAAGGCAACGAUGCAUAGCCGACCUGAGAGGGGGAUCGGCCACACUGGAACUGGGACACGGCCCAGACUCCUACGGGAGGAAGCAGAAGGGAAUCUUGGGAAAGGGCGGAAAGCCUGACGGAGCAAGGCGGCGGGGGUGAGGAAGGUCUUCGGAUCGUAAAACUCUGUUAUUAGGGAAGAACAGAUGUGUAAGGAACUGUGCACACCGUGACGGUACCUAAUCAGAAAGCCACGGCUAACUACGUG